GCUGCGGGGCCUGCGGCGGCCGUGGGCGGAGCGUCAGGGAGUGUCCCCGCGCCGUGGGGUUGUCCCCGCGCCGUGGGGUUAUGUCCCCGCGCCGUGGGGUUGUCCCCGCGCCGGGCGGGCCCGUCCCUCCAGGGCGGCUACCGGCGGUUGGUUCCCCGCCGCUCCGGGGCGGCAGGAAGCUUAGGACUGGCUGAGGAGCCGCACUGCUGCUGUCGGCCGUGCCAUAAGCGACCAUCCCUCUUGACCGUCGGUCUAGGGCUGUCCCCGGGCUGGUCUCAUGAAAACCACUGAACUAGUGAAGCAAUGGGUAUUGCCUGACAUAGCAAGAUCUUUGUUUUAAAUCUCAAAAGUGAGUCAAGUAGCUAAUGCUUUUAAGAGACUUCAUUGCCAUCAGAGGUGGAAAAGGAUGAGCUGCUUCCAGGCUUCCACAGACAUUUGCAACAGCUGUACAUCAUCAAAGAAACCUCUCAUUCCAGGAUGCGUCUAAGUUUGUGCAUGGAAUUGCACAUCUACCAAGUGUAAAGAAAGAGUUGAAAUUGUCUUUUCAGUCUUUGGAUUCACCUCCACUGCUGAAGGCUGGCCUAGGCUCCAAUUCCUCCCAUGCAGCUGAGCCUCUUCAGUGUGACAAUUCACUGCGUCUUGGAAUAAAAGAGAAAAAAUUGUCACCGUUCAAAUACUGUCUUCACAUCCUGGAACCUCGUUCUUGCAAAAUCUGAAACAGACCAAUAAAAAUUCUAUAAAUGAAAA